AGCGCAUCUAUUAGAUUAAAACCAAUCGGGUUUCGGCCCGUUUGUUGGUGACUCUGAAUAACUAUGGCUGAUCGCAUGGUCUAGAACCGGCGACGUGUCUAUCAAGUGUCUGCCUUAUCAACUGUCGAUGGUAGUUUAUGUGCCUACCAUGGUUGUAACGGGUAACGGAGAAUAAGGGUUCGACUCCGGAGAGGGAGCCUGAGAAACGGCUACCACAUCCAAGGAAGGCAGCAGGCGCGCAAAUUACCCACUCUCGGCAUGAGGAGGUAGUGACGAAAAAUAACGAGACCGUUCUCUAUGAGGCCGGUUAUCGGAAUGGGUACAAUUUAAACCCGUUAACGAGGAUCUAUGAGAGGGCAAGUCUGGUGCCAGCAGCCGCGGUAAUUCCAGCUCUCAAAGUGUAUAUCGUCAUUGCUGCGGUUAAAAAGCUCGUAGUUGGAUCUGCGCCUCAGGACCUGGUCCGCCCACUGGGUGAGAACUGGGCUCCUGGGCUAGUUCUGCUGGUUUUCCCUGCGUUGCCUUCAUCGGUAGCGUAGGGUGGCUAGCGAGUUUACUUUGAAAAAAUUAGAGUGCUUCACGCGGGCUUAUGUCUGAAUACUCGUGCAUGGAAUAAUAGAAUAGGAUCUCGGCUCUAUUUUGUUGGUUUUCUGAUCUGAGAUAAUGGUUAAGAGGGACGGACGGGGGCAUUCGUAUCGCUGCGUGAGAGGUGAAAUUCUUGGACCGUAGCGAGACGUCCGACUGCGAAAGCAUUUGCCAAGAAUGUCUUCAUUAAUCAAGAACGAAAGUCA
rnacentral:rRNA from 1 species